rnacentral:misc_RNA from 1 species
AAGUCAAAUAAAAUUGGAUUAAAACUCUCCAUCUAAUCAACCCCAACAUCACAUCAAACCCUCCAAGAUCCAGAAUCCUCAUAGGAAAAGAAAACCUAUGCCCAUCUAUCUUCCAUUGAAAUUCAGGACACAUGGUAGAACACCAUAUUUUCCUUCUAUCUGCCAUAGUAAUUACUACUGCUGGAAUCUGCACCAUAGGCAGCUUCAAACUCUGAGUGACCCUCUCAUCAAUAAAACUAUUUGUACUCCCACUAUCCACUAAAAUCAUUAAUUGAGAAUCACCACAAUUUCCCAAAUUUCUAAUGGCAUUAGUUCCCUGCUUCCCUUCCAAUGCAUGUACUGAUAAAGUGAUAUCAGGCUGCUGCUCAACUCCAUUUUCCCCAGCUUCCGCCUCAUGCCACUCUUCCUCUGAAUCUUCAUUUCCCUGUGAUUCAGUCUGAAUACACAUAACAGACUUUGGCUUACACUGAUGCCCAGGGAAAUAUUUAUCUCCACACCAAUAACAAGGAGUACACAGGGAUAAUUCUGAUGUAGUUGUGAAGUCCUAUAACUAAUAGAAGGACUAUAAACUGUAGUGACAGCCUUAAAUUGACCAGUGGAAGUCCUGGUACCAUAAGUAAUUCUUUCAGUAUUUACGAUAAGCAAUUCUUGUAAUUUUGCAGCCUCAAAUGCAUGAGCAAGGCUGUAGGCCUGAGCAUCCUCACCAUAGGCCUUAUUUCAACCCUUAAUCCCCCAAUAAAUCCUGACAAAUAGUAAGAUUCUCCCAAUUCAGACAACAGUCUUUCCAUUCUCAGCCUAAGAUCCUCAAACUUAUCUUGAUAAUCAUCCACAUUUCCCUCUUGCCUAAUCUUCAUAAACUCCUCCACAAUAUCCUCUAAGCCCUGAUCUCCAAAUCUUUUACCCAAAGCAGCCUCAAAUUCCUCCCAUGUACUAUCUUUAACCCCUUCAUUCCAAUUACUGAACCAAGAAUAUGCCCUAAUAGUCAAAUACAAGCUUGCAAUCCUCACCAUCCUAUCUUUAGGAACCCCACAAACUUCAAAAUAUUUUGUGCAUUUCCUAAUCCAAACCCUAGGA